AGAGUUUGAUCAUGGCUCAGGAUGAACGCUGGCGGCGUGCCUAAUACAUGCAAGUCGAACGGGGUGCAGCAAUGUAUCUAGUGGCGACCGGGUGCGUAACACGUAGCUGACCUACCCUGGCGCGGGGGACAACAGUUCGAAAGAACUGCUAAUACCGCAUAGCCCGAUGGGAACCAGAAACUCAUCGGGAAACUCACGGGGUGCUGGGAGGGGGCUGCGGCCCAUCAGAUAGUUGGUGCGGUAGUGGCGCACCAAGCCGACGACGGGUAGGGGGCCUGAGAGGGUGGUCCCCCACACUGGGACUGACAAACGGCCCAGACUCCUACGGGAGGCAGCAGUAAGGGAUAUUGCGCAAUGGGCGAAAGCCUGACGCAGCAACGCCGCGUGGAGGAUGACGGCCUUCGGGUUGUAAACUCCUUUGGACGGGGACGAGCAAGGACGGUACCCGUCAAACAAGUCACGGCUAACUACGUGCCAGCAGCCGCGGUAAUUC
rnacentral:rRNA from 1 species